AAAAAGUGCAUUUUUGUACCAUUUAUUCAACGUUUGGCUGUUUGUUUUAUUUAAGAAAGCUUUAUGAUUAGCAUUUUUAUUGUUAUUAGGUAAUAAAACAUGAAUAUUAUUUAUAUGUGACUAUUAUUAUUAUUUUUUUUAAAAUAUUUAAAUAAAAUGAACGGGCAAAUUUAGAUAUGGAAAUUCAUAAAUGCAUUUAAA
rnacentral:pre_miRNA from 1 species